UACGAAGGGGGCUAGCGUUGCUCGGAAUCACUGGGCGUAAAGGGUGCGUAGGCGGGUCUUUAAGUCAGGGGUGAAAGCCCGCAGCUCAACUGCGGAAGUGCCUUUGAUACUGGUUGUCUCGAGGGAGAUAGGGCAUGUGGAACUUCCGGUGGAGCGGUGAAAUGCGUAGAUAUCGGAAGGAACGCCGGUGGCGAAAGCGACGUGCUGGAUCUCUUCUGACGCUGAGGCGCGAAAGCUAGGGAGCAAACGGG
rnacentral:rRNA from 1 species